CCUUUUCUUCCCUACCCAGCCGUCACGCACUCACGCUUCCUCCGGCGGCGGCAAGGCGACGGCAUCGGCGGCCAAGGCGCGGGCGGCGGCGGCGAGCAAGGUGCGGGCGACGGCGGCGGCGGCGAGCAAGGUGCAGGCGACGUCAUCGGCAACCAAGGCGCGGGCGGCGGCGGCGGCGGAAGCGGGAGGCGGAGGAGUGGGAGAGGCGGAAGAGGGGGAGGAGGAGGAGGAGGCGGCAGAGACGAGAGGACCCCGUGGAUGUGCUCGGGGAGGAGGUGAUGGGGCGGGUGAUGGAGCUCCUGGACGCACGCAGCACCUGGCGCUGGGUCGCCGCCGACGACCGCCUCUGGGCACCCAAGGCUUAUUUGAUGAGAGCUGGGGCUGUCAUUCAUAGCCAUGGGAUGGAAACUUGCAUUGCAACCAUGCUUAAUACUGGUGCAAAAGAGUUUAGGCUAUGAUUUGCGACCUGUGGGUGAGCAAUCAACUUCUUGCUGAAGUGUCAGAGAAGGGUACCUGAAGGAACAGAAGAUCAACACUAACUUAAAGGCUCAUACAUCAUGUAAGCUAAAAUCAGUUUGUUCCCAUAGUUUGUGAGAUAAAUUGCAAUCCUUGCUGCUUGUAAAUUGUAAUUGAAUCUGUUACGAUUGCAAUUAUACUGCUUCAACAUAAAUUUCUCAUAAAAUGGAACUGGUAAUUUAAUAUUGGUGGAUUGUGAGAAUAUCGAAGCUAUGCUACAGAUUGAAUUAAAUGGAACUACAUCAGUUAUGUUAUUGACACUUAUCCUGCACAUUUGACACUGAUCUUCAAUUCUGUAUUGAAAUAGUAGGUGUUGCAUAGAUUACUUAUCAUUGAAUGGAGUAUUAUUAUAAUCUAUAUAUCUGACCCUUAAUACUUUUGUCUUUCUGAUAAUCUGAUUCAAGUUUUUAGAUGCUCAACUUAUCAUGGCGGUCACAAGAUAUUUUGGAGUGGCAUUUCUCUUCAAGGGAAAUGCCUUGCCUGUUGUAGAUUUGCCAUCGUUUUGUCUCAUUUUGUAGAUUGUAUAGGAGAAUUUCUCUUUUUGUACAACUAACCUAUGUACAUGGCAUUUGUAAUUAAAUGGAAUUGGUAUAUUCAGUACUAGUGGAAUGUGGAUGCAUGAGAACUGUUGGUGGUA